GUCCACGCCCUAAACGAUGAAUACUCGCUGUUAGCGAUAUACAGUUAGCGGCUAAGCGAAAGCGUUAAGUAUUCCACCUGGGGAGUACGCCCGCAAGGGUGAAACUCAAAGGAAUUGACGGGGCCCGCACAAGCGGAGGAGCAUGUGGUUUAAUUCGAUGAUACGCGAGGAACCUUACCCGGGCUUGAAAGUUAGUGAACUUACCAGAGAUGGUAGGGUCCGCAAGGACACGAAACUAGGUGCUGCAUGGCUGUCGU
rnacentral:rRNA from 1 species